rnacentral:rRNA from 1 species
AUUGAACGCUGGCGGCAGGCCUAACACAUGCAAGUCGAACGAGUGGCGGACGGGUGAGUAAUGUCUGGGAAACUGCCUGAUGGAGGGGGCUAACUACUGGAAACGGUAGCUAAUACCGCAUACCAUCAGAUGUGCCCAGAUGGGAUUAGCUUGUUGGGGGGGUAACGGCUCACCAAGGCGACGAUCCCUAGCUGGUCUGAGAGGAUGACCGGCCACACUGGAACUGAGACACGGUCCAGACUCCUACGGGAGGCAGCAGUGGGGAAUAUUGCACAAUGGACGAAAGCCUGAUGCAGCCAUGCCGCGUGUAUGAAGAAGGCCUUCGGGUUGUAAAGUACUGUCAGCGGAGAAGCGUUACCCAAAGAAGAAGCAACGGCUAACUCCGUGCCAGCAGCCGCGGUAAUAC